rnacentral:rRNA from 1 species
UACGUAGGGUGCAAGCGUUUAAUCGGAAUUACUGGGCGUAAAGCGUGCGCAGGCGGUUAUGUAAGACAGGUGUGAAAUCCCCGGGCUUAACCUGGGAACUGCAUUUGUGACUGCAUAGCUAGAGUACGGUAGAGGGGGAUGGAAUUCCGCGUGUAGCAGUGAAAUGCGUAGAUAUGCGGAGGAACACCGAUGGCGAAGGCAAUCCCCCUGGACCUGUACUGACGCUCAUGCACGAAAGCGUGGGGGAGCAAACAGGG